rnacentral:rRNA from 1 species
AACUCAAAGGAUUUGACGGGGGCCUACAACAAGUGGUGGAGCAUGUGGUUUAAUGCGAUAAUCCGCGCAAAACCUUACCAACCUUUGACAUAUUAAAAAUUUUUAAUUAAUAAAAAUUAAAUUAAAAACUAUUUUUACAGGUGUUGCACGACUGUCGUCAGCUCGUGUCGUAAGAUGUUUGGUUUAUUCCUUUAACGAGCGCAACUCUUAUCUUUAAAAAGUUUUUAACUUACAAAAGUUUCGUGUAUAUGAGACUUUUUAAGGCUUUAAAAGAAACUAUCAAUGAUAAAUUGGAGGAAGGUGAGAAUUAAGUCAAGUCCCUGUGGCCCUUAUAGGUUGGGCUACACACGUGCUACAACGG